CGGGGCUUAACCUCGGAACUGCCUUUGAUACUGCCACUCUAGAGUCCCGUGGAGGAGACUGGAAUAUCCUAGGGUACAGGUGAAAUUCGUAGAUAUUACGAAAAACACCAUUGACUAAUGCAACUCACUGAGCCCAGACUGACACUCAUGGCGCGAAAGCGUGGGGAGCAAACUGGAUUAGAUACCCUGGUAGUCCACGCUGUUACAGAUGGAUGCUAGCGGUUGGAUAGCAUGAUAUUCAGUGGGUCAGUUAAGGCAUUAAGCAUGCGACAUGUGGAGUACGUGGGCAAGGCUAAAACUCAAAGGAAUUUACGGGGACUCGCACAAGCGGUGGAGCAUCUGGUUUAAUUCGAGGCAAAGUGAAGAACUUUACCAGACCUUUACAUCCCGUCGCGGAUCCAGAGAUAGAUAUUUGAAUUGGGACGGACGUUGACAAGUGUUGCAUGGUUGUGGUCAGCUGUUGUCAUGAGAUGUCGGGCUAAGUCUUGGCAAAGAGUGCAACCCUAGGCCGUUGUUAUCACCAUUAAG
rnacentral:rRNA from 1 species